CCCUGGUGCUUCAAGUGGUAAAGAAUCUGCCUGCAAUGCAGGAGACCUAGGUUUAAUUCCUGGGUCAGGAA
rnacentral:tRNA from 1 species